AACGAACGCUGGCGGCAGGCCUAACACAUGCAAGUCGAACGCCCCGCCAGGGGAGUGGCAGACGGGUGAGUAACGCGUGGGAACAUACUCUUUUCUACGGCAUAGCCCUGGGUUACUGGAAUUAAUACCGAAUACGCCCUACGGGGGAAAGGUUUAUCGGGUAAGGGUUGGCGCGCGUUGUCUUAGCUCGUUGGGGGGGUAAAGGCCUACCAAGGCGACGAGCUAUAGCUUGUCUGAGAGGCUGAGCAGACACAUUGUGAGUGGGACGCGGCCCAGACUCCUACGGGAGGCAGCAGUGGGGAAUAUAGGACAAUCGGCGCAAGGCUGAUCCAGCCAUGCCGGGUGAGUGAUGUAGGCCUUAGGGUAGUGAAGCUCUUUCACCGAUGAAGAUAAUGACGGUAGUCGGAGAAGAAGCCCCGGCUAACUUCGUG
rnacentral:rRNA from 1 species